AACGAACGCUGGCGGCAUGCCUAACACAUGCAAGUCGAACGAGACCUUCGGGUCUAGUGGCGCACGGGUGCGUAACGCGUGGGAACCUGCCCUUAGGUUCGGAAUAACUCCCCGAAAGGGGUGCUAAUACCGGAUAAUAUCUUCGGACCAAAGAUUUAUCGCCUUUGGAUGGGCCCGCGUUGGAUUAGCUAGUUGGUAGGGUAAAAGCCUACCAAGGCGACGAUCCAUAGCUGGUCUGAGAGGAUGAUCAGCCACACUGGGACUGAGACACGGCCCAGACUCCUACGGGAGGCAGCAGUGGGGAAUAUUGGACAAUGGGCGAAAGCCUGAUCCAGCAAUGCCGCGUGAGUGAUGAAGGCCUUAGGGUUGUAAAGCUCUUUUACCCGGGAUGAUAAUGACAGUACCGGGAGAAUAAGCUCCGGCUAACUCCG
rnacentral:rRNA from 1 species